GAAGAAGAGCAAGCGGCGGCGCUCCAACAGGUCAGCCCAGCUGUGGUCCCAGCUGAAAGAUGAGGACUUGGAGACGGUGCAGGCCGCAUACCUUGGCCUCAAGCACUUCAACAAACCCGUGAGCGGGCCCAGCCAGGCGCACGACAACCACAGCUUCACCACAGACCAUGGUGAGAGCACCAGCAAGCUGGCCAGUGUGACCCGCAGCGUGGACAAGGACCCUGGGAUCCCCAGAGCUCUAAGCCUCAGUGGCUCCUCCAGCUCACCCCAAGCCCAGGUGAUGGUGCACAUGGCAAACCCCAGACAGCCCCUGCCUGCCUCUGGGCUGGCCACAGGAAUGCCACAACAGCCCGCAGCAUAUGCCCUAGGGUGACCACGCAGUGAGGCUGGUGCCCAUGCUCCACACUGGGAGGCCAGGCUGA
rnacentral:lncRNA from 1 species